rnacentral:rRNA from 1 species
GACGAACCGUGCGAACGUUGUUCGGAAUCACUGGGCUUAAAGGGCGCGUAGGCGGCGGAUCAAGUCCGGGGUGAAAGCCCCCAGCUCAACUGGGGAAGUGCCUUGGAUACUGAUUCGCUCGAGGGAGGUAGGGGUCGCGGGAACUUCCGGUGGAGCGGUGAAAUGCGUUGAUAUCAGGAGGAACACCAAUAGCGAAGGCAGCUCGC